CCUACCCUCCAGCCAAUCAGAGCGAGUGAGAUGUUUGUCUGUGUGAAAAUCAUGUGAUCGCCUCUGUCCGCGGGCGCAAUAUCUCUGCGAAUGAGGGUUAGCUGCUUUCGGAAGCAAACGGAAAAACUGCUACGGACCUGAGGCUGCGAUAGGCAGAGGUAAUUGCCACCAUCUUUAUUAGGGGCAGUGAUCUUCGGGACUCAUGCCGGAUCGCCAUAUUUAUAGGUGGCAACCUGCAGUGGAACGCAAGCGCAGCCUUUCUUGCUUGGGAGGGGAGAUUAAGACAAGAGAAAUGUUUGUUUUUGUUUUUGUUUUUCUGGACUUCUUUCCCAGACUGUGAGACACGGCGUGUAUUUCCUGGGAAGGACCUUUGACGCUGGCGGAGUACUGGCUUCAGGCAGUAUAAAUUGCUGCAAGUUAUCCGUUAGAUAUUUAAUGGAGGAGAAAUGCCGAAAACGUGUUCAGAACUGCAUGUUCAAAAACAAAGUUGCUGGAAAAGCUCAGUAGGUUUGGUAGCAUCUGUGAAAGGAAAAAAAAUAACGUUUCGGAUCCGCUAAUCCUUGCUUAGAACUUCAUGUUACCUGUUGCACUCUCACUGUAGGAAGUCCUGCUUUAAAUAUUAUGAUCUAUUAAAGCAUAUCCGUUUGCCCAGUAUUCAUAUGAUUGGGAUCAAAUCACUGAAAGUGCUCUGAGUCCCCUUGUGCUCCCUCGUCAAAUUUAUUAAUGUCUGACUUCCUCAGUCUGUAAUAAUGGGUGUAUUUUACCUCUGCAUCUUUCUGUGUGGGGGAGCAGGGUGCUUUUAAGAGGAGGAUUUAUACAUAACUAACAGAAACCAAGAGAAAUGUUUGCCUUUUCCAGACAAUCUUGUGUUUUCUGGAUUUCUGUCCAGGCCUGACCGUUAUUUGUCUCUUGUGGAUUUGCUUUACAGGAUAUUUAUUGAGAAUAAUUUGCAAACCAGGAUCCCAAUGCAAGUUCUCCAUUAAGCGGAGUGAUCAGGAUCUGAGUAUCAUUGACACUUAACAGUGAAAGGAAAGAGGUUUAACCAUUCUAUGCAUGGGAGAAUACUCCUGGACCUUUUGUGAUCUAAUCCCGUAACAGUGUGAGCUGCUACAAUGCACGUGCUAGUAAAAGCAUAAGAGGACAGAUGAGAUGAGUGCAUGGCUGGAGCUAUAACUUAAAAGUUUGAAAUUGUGAUUGCAUUCAGAGAAAUCAAACAAAACCACAUCCAGAUCUGACACUCAAUCUGUUUGUCGUAACCUAAUUAUCUCAGGAUUUUGAACAUUAAAGGAAGAAGCACUGUUCACACCAGGGAGAAAUGCGUAUUGUCUGUGUGUCGAAGAUUCUGUGAAGAUUCAUCUGAAAUGCCCAAACACCAGCACGGUCACACUGGGGAGAGACUGUGGUAAUGUGGGGAUUGUGGGAAGGGAUUUAUUUACCCAUCCCAGCUGGAAAUGCACCAACGCAGUCACACUGGGGAGAAACUGUUCAUUUGCUCUGAUUGUGGGCUGGGAUUCACUCAGUCAAGCAACCUGCUGAAACACCAACGAGUUCACAGUGGGGACAGACUGUUCACAUGUUCCGAGUAUGGGAAGGGAUUUGCUCACUCAACCAACCUGCUGAGACACCAGCGAGUUCACUCUGGGGACAGACCAUUCACUUGUUCUAUGUGUGGAAAGGGAUUCACUCAAUCAUCCCAACUGUUAACACACCAGCAAGUUCACCACAACCACAUUUGAAGGAUUUUGCCCUUAAAUCAAGGAAUGAACUUUGAUCUUUGGGCUGUUUGUACUGGUGUCAUUAGUCCCUGCUCAAAACUUGAUCUUCUCUUGGGAAAUAAGGUAGGGCAGGUGACUGAGGGGUCAGCAGGGGGGACAAUAUUUUGGGGCCUAUGAUUAUAUCUCUAUUAGUUUUAAAAUAAUUAUGGAAAAGGAUAGACUUUGGUCGAAGAGUCAAAGUUUUAAAUGAGGCCAAUUUUGACACUACUAUGCUUCUUAAAAGCACAGUAAGACCGCCUAUGUGUGGGAAUGCACGAGAUGGGUGAGAUACAAAAAAGUAUUUUACAUCAGUAUUUACUGUGAUAAAGGAUACAAAAGCUAAAGAACUUCGAGAAAUGAAUGUGUAUCUUGAAAAGCUCCAUGUUGUAGAGGAGGUGGUGCUGGAUGCCAUACAGAGCAUAAAGGUGGAUAAAUCCCCAGGACCUCUUCAGGUGUAUUCUCGAACUUUGCGGGAAGCUAAGCUUGCGAUUGGGCCCCUUGCUCAGAUAUUUGCACCAUUGACAGUCAUAGGUGAGCUGUUACACUGGAGGUUGGCUAAUCUGGUGCCAUUGUUUAAGAAAGGUGGUAACAUAAAACCAGGGAACAAUAAACUUUUAGUGAGCCUGACGUCAGUUGUGGGUAAGUUGUUGGAGGGAAUUCUGAGGGAUAGGAUUUACAUAUAUUUGGAAAGCGUGGACUGAAUGGGGAAUAGUUGACAUGGCUUUGUCCAUAGGAAAUUAUGCCUUACUAACUUGAUUGAGUUUUUUUGAAGAAGUUAGAAACAAGAUUGAUGGCAGAGCGGUGGAUGUUUUCGAUAUUCCUCAUGGUCGACUGAUUAACAAGGUUAGAUCACAUGGAAUCCAGGGAGAGCUGGCCAUUUGGAAAGGCCUUUGACCUGCAGUAUGCUGCAAGGAUUGGUACUUAGUAACUAUAACUCCUACAUUCACAUCCAAAUCAUCUUUAUAAAUGACACACCACUGGUCACAGGCCUCCAGUCGACAAAGCAACCCUCCACCAGCACUCCGUCUUCUACCUUCAAGUCAGAUCUGUUUCCAAAUGACUGGUUCUCUCUGUAUUCCAUCUGAUCUGACCUUGCUAAUCAGUCUACUAUGAGGAACCUUGUCAAACGCCUUAGUGACAUCCAUAUAGAACACAUCCACCUCUUUGCGCUACUCAAUCCUCUUUGUUCCUGCAUCAAAAAAAAUCAAGUCAGUGAGACAUGAUUUCCCACACACACAGCCAUGUUGAUUAUCCCUAAUCAGUCCUUCCCUUUCCAAAUAUUUCAAGUACUAUCCCUCAGGAUUCCUAGAACGACUUUCCCACCACUAAUAUCAGGCUCACUGGCCUAUAGUUCCCUGGCUUUUCCUUACCACCUUUCUUAAAUAGUGGCACCACAUUAGCCAACUUCUGGUCCCUCACCUGUGACUAUCGAUGAUACAAAUAUCUCAGCAAGGGGCCCAGCAAUCACUUGCCUAGCUUCCCUCCGAGUUCUCGGAUACACCUGAUCAGGUCCCAGGAACUUAUCCACUUUUAUACGUUUUAAGCAUCACUACCUCUGUAAUAUGGAUAAUUUUCAAGAUGUUGCUAUUUAUUUCCCCACAGUCUAUAUCUUCCAUAUCCUUUUCUGUAGUAAAUACUGAUGCAUAAUACUUGUUUUAUUAUAUUCCCCAUUUCUUGCAAUUCCACACAUAGGAGGCAUUGCUGCUUUUUAAGGGGCCCUAUCUCUCCAUCGUUAUCCUUUUUGUUCUUAAUCUAUUUGUAGAAUCCCACUGGAUUUUCCUUAAUACUAUUUGCCUAAGUUACCUCAUGUUCCCUUUUUGCCCUACUAAUUUCCCUCUUAAGUAUACUAUUGUCAUUAUACUCUUGUAAGCAUUCACUCGAUCUCUGCUGUCUAUACCUGACAUGUCCUUCCUCGUUUUUCUUGACCAAAACCUUGAUUUCUCUCGUCAUCCAGAAUUCCCUAUACCUACCAGCAUUGUCCUUCACCCGAACAGGAGUAUACUGUCCCUGAACUCUCGUUAUCUCUUUUUUUUUUUGAAGGCUUCCCACUUUCUAACUUUCUGUUUUACCUGCGAACAUCUGCCCCAAUCAACUUUUGAAAGCUCUUGUGUAAUACCAUUAAAAUUGGCCUUCCUCCAAUAUAGAGCUUUAACUUUCAGAUCCGGUCUACUCUUUUCCAUCACUAUUUUAAAACUAAUAGAAUUAUGGUCACUGGCCCCAAAGUCCUCCCCUGCUGAUACCCUAGUCACCUGUCCUGCUUUAUUUGCCAACAGCAGGUCAAGUUUUGCACCUUCUGUAGUCGGUACAUCACAUACUGAAUCAGAACAUUUUCCUCUACACUCUCAGCAAACUCCGCUCCAUCCAAGCCUUUUAGACCAUGGAAUUCCCAGUCUGUUUGGAAAGUUAAAAUCCCUUCCAUCACCACCCUGUUAUUCUUCCAGAUAACUUCUUUCAAAAUUAUUUGUCAGAUUCCUGCUGACUAAUGGGGGUGGCUAUAGUAUAAUCCCAAUAAGGUGAUCAUCCCUUUCUUAUUUCUCAGUUCCACCCAAAUAACUUCCCUGGAUGUAUUCUCAGAUAUAUCCUGCCUAAGUAACGCCGUAAUGUUAUCCUUGCUCAAAAAUGCCACUUUUCCCUCCUCUCUUGCUUUGCUUCCCCCUCCCCCUUCGACUUUCUAUCCUUUCUAUAGGAACUAUAUCUUAGAACAUUAAGCUGGCAGCCCUGUCCACCUCUGAGCCUUGCCUCUGUAAUUGCAAUGAUAACCCAGUUUCAUGUUUCCAAUCUUGCCCUGAGUUCCUCUGCCUUAGCUGUUAGGCCUCUGGCAUUGAAAUAAAUGGCGUUUAAUUUAUUAGUCCUUUCGCAUUAAUCUCAAUAACAAAUACGUAACUGUAGAGUAGGUUUUGAAAAUGAUAACGUUUUAUUGCUGUAGAUCAACACAUUCACACUGGGUAAAGACAAUCCACCCGCAGUGUGUGAAAAGGGAUUCCCUAGUUCAUUAGGACGGGUUUUCAUAGAAUUCGGAGUAUUCCUACAGUAUGGAAACAGGCCCUUCGGCCCAAGAAUUCCACACAAAACCUCAGAGCAUCCCACCCAGACACAUCUCCCCGUAGCCCACCUAAUGUACGCAUCACUGAACACUCUGGGCAAUUUAGCUUGGCGAAUCCACUAACCAGCACGUGGGAGGAAACCAGAGCACCUAGAGGAAACCCACGCAGCCACAGGGAGAAUAUGCCAACAACCACACACUCGGUUGCCCAAGGGUGGAAUCAAAUCCAGGUCCCUGGCACUGUGAGGCAGCAGUGCUAACCGCUGAGCCACUGUGGUUAAACACCAAUGAGUUCCCAAGAAUCUGUAGGAAUUUUUGUUGCUCGUAUUAUCUGUAUUCAAGUCAUGUUAUCUGGGCUUGUUUCUCAUGAUGUUUGAAAACACCACAUGUCUGGUUACCUUGUUGGGAGAAAAAAUGAUAUAAAUUUUAUUAAAACUACUGUGCAUUGGAUCUUUAUCUCAAAAGCAGACUAAUUUAUUUUGAAAGGGGAGAUGGAGAGCCUAUCUCCUCUAUCCUCACCUCCAACAAGUGCGAGGAACCUGUGGUUUUUAUUUUUCACUCAAUGACAGUCAGUACAUUUCAUAUGAGCAACUGGGAACCGAGUCAUCCCAAAAUGCUUGAAACUUAGUGUACUAAUGGUACACUAUUACAAUAAUAACCAUUACAAUUCUUUUCUGAACCUUUUGAAGUUUUACAACAUCCGUCCUUCAGCAGGAAGAGUAGAAUUACACACAGCGGUUACACCUAAACUGGAAUGGGAACUGCAUCCUUGUGGGAGCUGGGGAUGGGUUUCCAGUACUGUUGGGGGUCACGUAAAAAGUUUAGCAGUGGGCUGAAAUCCAGAGAAUGUUCAAAAAUAAUAAUGGCCAAAAAGAGAAGAAACAAGAGAGUCUGGAAGGCAUUGUCAUUGGGCAAUUAAGAUAUAAGCGAGUUUGCCACGGGUGAAUGGUAUUUAAUGCUUGGAGUCAGAUGAAUAAGGCAGAUGAUUUGAGGAUACAAAUUAGUGGGGUCAUAAAGCCAUUGCUGUCACUUGGACAUGGUUAGCAGCUCAGUAUUCCAGGAUACAGGGCCUUCAUGCAAGGCAGUGGAGGUGGUAAAGGAGGAGGAAAUAUUGUUAUUUUGCUUCGGGAAUCUAUACAGCAAUAAGGACAGGUGACAUUUUUGAAAACCCCUUUAAAUAAAUAAGGAGACAGAUUUUGAGAAAGUGUAGAAGUAGCAGGAUUAUGGUAGCAGAGACUUUCAACUUCCUCAACAUUAAUGGAGUCGUCAUAAUGUGAAGGAUUUAUCAGAAUUUUUAAAAUACAUCCAGGAGAGCAUUUUUUCAGCCACUAAGUAGAAGUCCCAACAAGGAAGGGGAAGGUCCUGGACUUGACUUUAGGUUACAAAGUUGAGCAAGUGGUUGAAGUUUCAGUGGGAUAGCAUUUUGCAGGUAGUUAUUAUAACUAUUCGAUUCAGGAUUUGUAUGGAAAAGGACAAGGAUGGGUCUAAAGUCCUAAACUGAUGCUGAAGUUAUGAAGAAAGUAAAUGGAAUUUUGGCCUUAACUGCGAGGUGUUGGUGUUUUGAGGAUCGGGACAUCUUGUAACAACUGUAUUGGAUGUUGGUGAAGCCAUAUUGGUUUAGCUACUCGUAUUUAAGAAAGGAUAUGCUGGCGUUGAAUGCGGUGCAAAAGAGAUUCGCUAAGCUGAUUCAUGGGAUGUAAGGGUCAUCAAGAAUAGCUGGAGGAAGGGAAUUUGCAAAGGGAAAAUACUAAAUAAACAGGUGGUGCCCAGUGUUGGGCUCAUACUCACAACUCUGCACUUAAACAGCGUAUGUUCCAACAACUGAGUUAACUUGGCCUUCCACAGUCAAUGUUCAAAUCCUGCUUUAUAAGGUGACAAAUGGGUUUUUCACUGACGCCGCUGCAGUCCAAGGAAGUAAAAGGUAACUGCUUUAGAAAAUCCCAAGGUUCCAAUGUAUUCUUCUCAUUCACAUUGCAAUCCAUUUUCAGUACUUGCUCCAGGAUUUAACAUUCAAAAUUAAUUUCGUGAUGUUGUUGCCCUCAUCUUUAAGUGCCCUGUAUAACUCCAGUCACUCGGUCGAAUGGUGAAAAAGUCUGUUUCAAUAAACCAAUUUUUUUCAGC